AGAGUUUGAUCCUGGCUCAGAAUGAACGCUGGCGGCAUGCCUAACACAUGCAAGUCGAACGAGAUCUUCGGAUCUAGUGGCGCACGGGUGAGUAACGCGUGGGAACCUACCUUUUAGUACGGGACAACGUUUGGAAACGAACGCUAAUACCGUAUACGCCCUCCGGGGGAAAGGUCAGCCGCUGAAAGAGGGGCCCGCGUCUGAUUAGCUUGUUGGUAAGGUAACGGCUUACCAAGGCAACGAUCAGUAGCUGGUCUGAGAGGAUGAUCAGCCACACUGGGACUGAGACACGGCCCAGACUCCUACGGGAGGCAGCAGUGGGGAAUAUUGGACAAUGGAGGCAACUCUGAUCCAGCAAUGCCGCGUGUGUGAUGAAGGCCCUAGGGUUGUAAAGCACUUUCAACGGUGAAGAUGAUGACGGUAGCCGUAGAAGAAGCCCCGGCUAACUUCGUGCCAGCAGCCGCGGUAAUACGAAGGGGGCGAGCGUUAUUCGGAAUUAUUGGGCGUAAAGGGCUCGCAGGCUGCUUGAACAGUUAGACGUGAAAUCCCCGGGCUUAACCUGGGAACUGCGUUUAAUACUAGCAAGCUAGAGAAAUAGAGAGGAAAGUGGAACUCCCAGUGUAGAGGUGAAAUUCGUAGAUAUUGGGAAGAACACCAGUGGCGAAAGCGGCUAACUGGCUCGUAUCUGACGCUGAGACGCGAAAGCGUGGGUAGCAAACAGGAUUAGAUACCCUGGUAGUCCACGCCGUAAACGAUGUCAACUAGCC
rnacentral:rRNA from 1 species